rnacentral:rRNA from 1 species
UACAGAGGGGCAAGCGUUGUUCGGAAUUACUGGGCGUAAAGGGCGCGUAGGCGGCCUUCUAAGUCGAACGUGAAAUCCCCGGGCUCAACCCGGGAACUGCGUCCGAUACUGGAAGGCUUGAAUCCGGGAGAGGGAUGCGGAAUUCCAGGUGGUAGCGGUGAAAUGCGUAGAUAUCUGGAGGAACACCGGGUGGCGAAGGCGGCAUCCGUGGACCGGCAUUGAACGCUGAGGCGC